rnacentral:rRNA from 1 species
CAGUAGCCGCGGGAAAACGUAGGUGGCGAGCGUUGUCCGGAUUUAUUGGGCGUAAAGGGAGUGUAGGCGGUCUUUUAAGUCUGAUGUGAAAGCCCACGGCUCAACCGUGGAGGGUCAUUGGAAACUGGGAGACUUGAGUGCAGAAGAGGAGAGCGGAAUUCCAUGUGUAGCGGUGAAAUGCGUAGAUAUAUGGAGGAACACCAGUGGCGAAGGCGGCUCUCUGGUCUGUAACUGACGCUGAGGCUCGAAAGCGUGGGGAGCAAACAGGAUUAGAUACCCGUGUAUCCCUGUCUCUUAUACC